GAUGAAGAACGCAGUGAAAUGCGAUGAGUAGUGUGAAUUGCAGAAUUCAGUGAAUCAUCGAAUCUUUGAACGCACAUUGCGCCCCUUGGUAUUCCAUGGGGCAUGCCUGUUCGAGCGUCAUUUGUACCUUCAAGCUUUGCUUGGUGUUGGGUGUUUGUCUCGCCUUUGCGUGUAGACUCGCCUUAAAAUAAUUGGCAGCCGGCGUAUUGAUUUCGGAGCGCAGUACAUCUCGCGCUUUGCACUCAUAACGACAGCGUCCAAAAGUACAUUUUACACUCUUGACCUCGGAUCAGGUAGGGAUACCCGCUGAACUUAAGCAUAUCAAUAAGCGGAGGA
rnacentral:misc_RNA from 1 species